rnacentral:rRNA from 1 species
GUAGGUGGCAAGCGUUGUCCGGAAUUAUUGGGCGUAAAGCGCGCGCAGGCGGUUCUUUAAGUCUGAUGUGAAAGCCCACGGCUCAACCGUGGAGGGUCAUUGGAAACUGGAGAACUUGAGUACAGAAGAGGAAAGCGGAAUUCCACGUGUAGCGGUGAAAUGCGUAGAGAUGUGGAGGAACACCAGUGGCGAGGGCGGCUUUCUGGUCUGUAACUGACGCUGAGGCGCGAAAGCGUGGGGAGCAAACAGGGAUUAGAUACCCUGGUAGUCCACGCCGUAAACGAUGAGUGCUAAGUGUUAGGGGGGUUUCCGCCCCCUUAGUGCUGCAGCUAACGCAUUAAGCACUCCGCCUGGGGAUACGGCCGCAAGGCUG